CCAAAGCUAUAGGCACAAUACAGUUGUAACAACAAUUACAUUUUGUAUUUGUAAUUACAAUUACUGAUCAGUCAUUCACAUUGUCCCAUUUGCUUCCACAAUAACUCUGCUAGCGUUGUGCGCUCUUCGAAAGGUUGUACAAGUAGCAUUUUUGACAUCAUUCAAUGAUUAGCACAUUCAUUUUGAGACAUUCAUAUAAUUAAUCAACAGAAAGUGCACUGAUUGACAGCUUCCAGCCUCAACACUGCAUUUGUGCAAGAAAAUCUGGUGGAUUGAGAUUCUUCGAGCACAAACGGAGCUACAGUUGUCACAGCUCCCUCUUGGGUGGAGGAACUCAAGAAAAAAAAAAAACAAAACAAAAAAAAAAACCCAAACAUGAUUUCCAGCAAGAUUAUCAUUGUAAUAGUAAAGAUUCUCAGGAGGUGACACAACACUGUGGGGUACUGCAGGGCCCUAUCUUACAAAUUAGUGCAUGGCCCAUCGUCGUCGCUAGCUCCUGCCCAAAAUUUAUCAUUUUCACCCCCAACAUUCUUCAAAUACACACGGCACUCUCACUCAUCAUAAAAUGAGGUGUGAUGAGGAGGCAGAAUGCGAUCGCCCCGCAGACCAAAAACAUGGUUGAAAAUCAAGAGCAGCGUUUUUAAUGCUAUUUAUCCAGAACGAUGUUCAGGUGCACCAUGCAUAUGUGGGGUAACAAUACUCAUAUGCUCUGGCUGUACACACAUUGGUGUGUCAAAGUAACAAAACAGAACUAAGAAAUAAAUAAAUGUAAACACUAAUGGAAAAAUGCAGAAUUUUAAUCACUGUGGACUGAAGCGAAACGUCCUCGCGUCAAGCAACCCAGUCCAGUCGAAGAUUCAAGCUUCUCUACUAUGGAUACCACCUGGACAACUGAGAGCCUUCACAGAAACACUGUGGACUGUAUUUUUAUGCUGUUUUUCUUCCUCCCCAGGCUGGGAGACGGGCAUGACCAAAACGGAGUGUCCAGGAGCAGUGGGGAUGGGACAGGGAGCCUGGUGGGGUAUGGAGGAAAAUCAGGUGUGAGGCAAACACGUGCUUCAUCUCUUGGAGCUUUGCUGGAUGCGACGGUCUACUGCACACUUUGCGCUCCGAAAUCUUUCCUCACCAGAAAACCUCUCGUUUAUGUGUUUACCAUCUAAAUAGCAGUCUGCCAGUUGCUGGUGCACAUCUUUUAAAAGGCCAUGACAGAUGAUACACUGAUUAGUUUUAGAGCCUGGCCAAUCGGUUGGCCAAUAAUAUCAGCUAAUAUGAACCUUUCACAAACAUACUGGUAUCUGUGUUAUUUUUGCCUGUAUGAAAACCACGCAGAAAAACAGUUUG